UACGUAGGGUGCGAGCGUUGUCCGGAAUUACUGGGCGUAAAGAGCUUGUAGGUGGUUUGUCGCGUUGUUCGUGAAAUCUCACGGCUCAACUGUGAGCGUGCGGGCGAUACGGGCAGACUAGAGUACUGCAGGGGAGACUGGAAUUCCUGGUGUAGCGGUGGAAUGCGCAGAUAUCAGGAGGAACACCGGUGGCGAGGGCGGGUCUCUGGGCAGUAACUGACGCUGAGAAGCGAAAGCGUGGGGAGCGAACAGG
rnacentral:rRNA from 1 species